CGCAGUCGUCGCCAGUGCAUCGUGUAUAUAAGGGACGAGGAGACGCCAGAGCUGCAUCAGUCAUCAUGGCAGCCUCCACCAAGUCUCUCUUGCUCCUCUGUCUCGCUCUCGUGGUUGUGACCACGAUGGCGCAGGAACCUGCAGGCGUCCCAGCUGUCCCUAGCGGAGAUGCCGCCAGCAACCAGGAGCCGGUACAGCCGGUGGUGGGCGACGGAGCUGCUGGGGACCAGGC